rnacentral:lncRNA from 10 species
UUUGUCAUGUCCAGGUGUGCUUUCCUUCUUGUUGUAACACAUUUUCUUACACAUUUCAUCGUUCACAGAAGUGUGCCUUCACUUGCUCUCCAACUGUGGAUCUGGAUUCUCCACUGCCAGAAGUCAUGGAUGAAGGACCAUCCUCAGGGCAUGUAUUUCCUAUUCUGUCUGGUUGGCUUGCUGCUUAAAAAUCAGAAUACAGAAGAGAAGACAGUCUUGUGGAGGGUCAAAGGAGCCACUGUUUGUAGUUAUUUGGGAUCUUUGAGGAAACCCCUGCUAAAAUAACUUGAUUGGAGAUUUUCCUUAGUCUGGACCAAACCUUCCCAUUAUUGGACACAGAUGGUCAGCUAGUAAUCAAUCAUCUAUAAUUAUGCUUUGGAAAAACCUCAUGAGCAAAGACCCUCGACUUGUAGUCAAAGCUACAAUUUAUGUCAAGCAGCUCCAUUAGAUGUCUCAUUUCCCAGCCAUCAGGAGGAGGAAAGAGGGAAUGAAGAACAAGCUUCUUCCUGUGGGUGUGACCCAGAGGUUGUUCGUGUCACUUCUAUUCACAUUUGCUUGUGUAGAACUUACACAAUCAUACUUAACUUCAAGAAAGAUUGGGCAACAUAGUUUAUAGCGGGGAGGAUUUAUGCCCUGAAAUUGAUGGUGUCAUCUUUUCAUCUUCCCUCUCUCACCAUUAGCAUGUAAUCUGUAACUGAAUUUGAACAAUCCAACUUCCAAAUGAUUUCCAUUUUUCUCCAUAUUCCUAACAACACUUUAGUCUAAAGCGUCCUCAUCCUUGCCUAGUUUACUACAAUAACCUAAUUGGUCAGCGUGCUUCCAUUCUUGCCCCACCAAGUCAUUUCUGACACCGUGGCCGCUAAUUCUUAAGAAUAGAAACCAAAUCAUCACUCUUCUUUAAGGCCUUUAGUGUCUAUUUCCAUAGAAUAAAAUCCAUACCCUGCACCAUGAGCCGUAAGACCUGGCAAUGACCUGGCUCUAGUGUACCCAGUGCUAUCCUUGCACCAUGCUUUCCACCAGUCACUAUGUUCUGGCUUCUCUGGCCUCCACCUUUUUCUAGAACACAUUGAUCCUUUCCCCACCUCAGGCCCUUAUCCCUGCUAUUCUUCAUCCUGUAAAACUUUUGCUGGGAUCUCCGCGUGGCUGGCUCGCCCUCAUCUCUUGGCACUCAGCACAAAUGUCAUCUAUUUUGAGAAUCUUUCCUGACUGCCCUUUGUAAAGCAGCAUGUCUUGUUCCCAGUGACUCUUUAUUGCAUUACUUUAUUUAUUUUCUUCAUAGCAUUUAUUAAAUUAUAUAAUAAUCCUGUUUAUUUGAUUAUUUAAUUUUCUCCUUUCAUUAGAAAAUAAUCCUUAGGAGGGCAGUUUCUUUGGCUUAUCCUGAUUCUCAGACUCUGGCACAUAAAAGGAACUCAACAGAUUGCUAUUGAAUGAGUGAUUAAAUGAGUUAGGUACACUUUAUAUAUUUCUUACAAUAAGAAUCUGGUGCCCACUGUGGGAAAACCAGGUAAAAGGAACCUUACACAGAUUUGCCUCCACUAGCUUUACUU